GAGCUGAGUGACUGGACAUUGCAUGAGCUUCUCCCCUGUGAACUUGAUUGCAGCACGAGGCCAUUUAUAGCAGGCUCCUGCUGUACUGCUGGGCUGCCUGCAGUCCCUAGGGGAUGUACACCACUUCUUGACUGGUUUCCAGGAGGCUUGUGAGUGGUAGGCACUGGAAUCACUGCUGUUAGACAGGAGUAUAUCAAGGGGAUGUCAUCUCUGCAAGGUGCCUGAUUCUCUUCUAACCAUCACUGCCAAGGGUCACCACUGGGACAGUCAGACCAGCUCCUGCUGCAGAGAAGGCAGAAACAGACAUGAGGUGAAAUGACAAAGAUUUCACCAGAAAUUGUGGGGCAUUGUCAUGCCUGUAACUGAAAAGGAAAUCAUCUGGGUUUCUCAAGGCAGUUUUGCAGGAAAA